CCUGAAAGUCAAGGUGGACAUGAUGAAACUCAAUGGGCUAGAGGACAUUUAAUACCCACGCAUGAACCAGUCAUCUUUUCUUAGUUUAGUGUGACGUUGUAAAAACAGCAGAGACUAAACUCGUACCAAUCAUCCUCUUAAUGACAGUUAUGGAGCAUUUCUAAGUGUAUAAACAGCCUUAAGGUGUAGACACGUGCUUAUUUACACAGUAGACAGGAUAAUUGUAUUCUUUUGUCUAUUUCUGGGAAAAAAAUCAUUGGUUUUGAGUCCAAAUUGAAAGCCUCAUAAUGACUUUUGAGUAUAAAGAGAGGCCUGCUGGGAGGCUGCCUUUUGUUAGCUAGCAGGAUCAUAUUCACACACGCGCACGCUGGUGGGAGGGCUGUAGCAAUAUUUACUGGUAAAACACACGUGUGUGAGUAGAUUUGCUUCCUGCCAGUCACAAAAAUGACCCAACCACACAACAAACAGUGUCUCUGCAUUUUUUGAACCAUCUGUGGAUGUCUUCGUUGGGUUUCUGUGCUUUUCUAGCGUGAACAUCCCACACAAGCACUCCUGAGAACAUGCAGAUACACACUUAAACUGGUUGAGAUGAACAAACAGAUGCAUGGACGUGAAGGACUCGCAGUGACUAAAGGGGAUGGUGUGUAUCUGCUGAGGGCAAAGAGCUGGAACAGUUAACACCAGGGUCCAAACUUCCCUUCUGCUAACUCUUGAUUAUUGAUUAACCGUUUUGUGUGAGUCAUAAAUCAUCAACACGUUCUGCUGAGAGUCAGGAUCUUUGCUCUGAUUUGGAUUUGAUUGCUGCCAUGUGAAGCUUUCAGACCAGCUGAGGUGAAACCCACCAGAAUCUGUUAUCCUCUAUAGGGACUAAAUGUCUGAGGUGUGAUGUUUGGGUCAUGCGGACAGCUGUGUGAAGCUAGCAGGGAUUCGUUUAACCCAGCAUGUGGUCCCCAUCCCACCUGAACAGAUGAAGACACCUCUUCAGUUCUCAAGUCUGCUUCACCACAGGAGGUAAAUGAAUUACACCCGUCUAAUUUGUCACGAGACAGCAGAUUGUCGUCAGCGUGGCAGGAAUAAAGAGAGGAGCUGACCCGGAAUCAUUUUUAAUUUAAUCACCAGGAGCGGAGAGUUCAGCUACCAUCUGAUCCUGAUAACAAAAUGAGCAUCAGCGGCUUGUCAGAACAAACCCUGUUGACCUUUAACCCAAUUUCCCUUGAAGCCAUCCCAUCCCCCUGCUGUGCCUGAAAACUUUAGGAAUGCUGCCGCCUGACAAAAUUUGCCAGGUUUUAUCUCCUCAGGGGAAACGGCUAUACGAGACGACGUUCACAUCACCAGAAUGUAACAAGCGCUGGAUUUGUCUGAUGAAGGACACACCUCCUCCUGAGUCCACAAGCCAGUCCUCACUCACUCACCACAGCUGUGCAGGUCUACCCUACCUCUGCUGCAACGACCUGAUGGAUCCUGUUUGAGUCUAGCCAUGAGCUGUAGCCUCCUCGUGCAGAGAGUACACACACACACACACACACACACACACACACACACACACACACACACACACACACACACACACACACACACACACACACACACACACACACACACACACACACACACACACACUGUGAUGUUUAGUAACACUCCACUGGGAUCCACUACACAUGCAGGACCACACCUGACAUGCAUCAGUGAGAAAAACACACAUUGGACCAGAACGCUCACUUUGACUUUUCCAGUGUGAUGCGGCCUCAUCACAAAGCCUGAGGGUUGGGGAUUAGGAAAAGACACAAAAAGCACAAACUGCUUUGGGUCAUCUAAAUAUAACUUUCCUGAGAGUCACCUGGCCUGAAGACCAAGUCUGUCAAGUUUCUGACUCAACUCAGCAAAAUGCAAACAGUGGAGAUCUAAGUCGUGAAGAGAACAACCACAGAGUGGUUUUGAUUUAAAAUACAGCACAUAACAUUAGGUUAUUACAUAUUAUUCUAAUUAUUAAUAUAUUUUAAACAGUUACUCACCUCCGUAUGACUCCUAAUAAAAGGCACGACAUAUUUGGUGCAAUUUUUUAAUUAUUAACUUUAAAAACAAGUCAGUAAAAAGGCGCAUAUAGGAGAGAGAGAGCGAUCGGCGGCAGCUAGAGCUCUUCACGGACCAUAUCUGAUCUGAUGGGACCUUGCACUUUGCUCCGAGAGGACAUUCACUCUGGAGAAGUUCAGAUGCUGCCCACCCCUAGAGCCCUCCACAAAGUCACCUCGCUGCUUUAAAAAAAAAAAAAAAAGAAAGAAAGAAAGAGAAGCUGAAAGACUCGGAGCUGCAGGAAGAGGAGGCGCCUUGGCUUCAAAGUUCACGGCUGUUUGACUUGUCAGCGGAUCUGGACUGGCCCAUGUCCUGUCUGUGGGAUACAGCCGGCUGCUGUUUGUCCCUCUCGGAUGAUGCAAGUCUCCCCAGUUCCUGCACGUCCCCGCCGACUGGAGUCACGUGACGCGCAAAAAGCAGUGCAGAGGCAAACCGGAAAUACGCGCUAGGGCGCGCAAACACCAGGGAACACGAUGUAUAUGUCGAUGUGUCACACAUUAUCAUAAAGAAGUUUCUACACCUUUAAAACCAGUGCUUAAAACCCACACUUUCAUUUUAGGUUUACAAUGUUUUUAUUUUGUAGCAUCAGUGCAACAAGUUUGUUCAACAGUUUACAAGCAAACUCAUUUUUAGUUUUUAUUGAUUCUUCCUACCCCACACAUCACAUGACUUAAACAUCCUGAAAUAUUCUUAGUGCAGCAUGUUUCCAUUCACAUACAUCUGUAGUUAUUUUUAAAGUGUUCUUGUAUUUACUACUGAGGAGCCCAGCAAGUGCCAAGUAAAAAAAAACAUCCACACAUAUUACAAGUGAAAAAUCAUCAUGGUAUGGACACAUUUUAGUUCAGUCUUUUGAAGUUAGACCAUGCUACAUUUAAAGAGAUAUUUCAGUCGUUUUAAGGACAUUACAGUUUUCUGAACAACCUCAGUUAGGAGAAAUAAUGUUCACAUCCAACUGAUGAGCUAAUAUAGAGCAGUCAAGACAGCUGCCUUCUUCAAACAGCUCUUAAAUGUUACAACAAACCAUUUUUUAAGCUUUUACACCACUGUCUGAUUUGAAUUGAAGUUAUUUUGAAUGAUUUGUUAAUUCCUGCAAUGCUCAGCAAAUUGUACCACAACAUGUUGCUGCUGGUGGUGAUACUGCUUUUAAAGACACACUGUGCAACUUUUUCAUAUUUUUAAAUAAUUUUCUUGAGCCAGUAUGUGCUAAAAUGACCCUUAACAGAAUUAAUGAAAGGUCACCCAGCCCCUAUUUUCCCCUGCGGCCAGAAUGUUCCACUUGCAACUUCAGAGUUGCCGGACCGGUCUGUUGGACUUAUUUUAAGAAAUGGACUUGACCUACCUGGAGCUGCGGUCUGCUUCCAGUACGUUUCCUGCAUGUUUUAGAUCAUGAAGAGCUGAUUUGUUAAAUUUAGUGAUGAGUCACUCCUAUAGACACUAAUGAAGGCUGGGGAGUUAUUUCAGCUGUUAGAUCAAAGCCUAAUUCAUAUUUAUCCAUCAGCUUCGCGAGAGAGAGACACACAAUCGUUGACAGAAACAUUUUGCUCUCGAACUUCUUCAGCAGCUGGGAAUUGUUGCCAUGUCAGGAUAGCAGAAGGCAUAGCACUAUUCUGAGGUAUCCUGCCACAAUUACAGUCACGUAUUCGGUCUGUGUAUUUACUGUUGUGUUUACCUUGUUUUAAUGUAUUUCAGAGACUUGAACACAAACAAAUUUGUCCCCCAUUUCCCUCUACCUCAUCAUGCGAUCGGCACCUCUAAACUCACAUUUCUCGUCUUUUCCAUCCACGAGAAAAUCGCUUGCUACAUAUCUUUGUACUUCUUCAGUCACGGGUGAAUAAACUUUCAUAUUUUCA